ensembl:snRNA U1 U1 spliceosomal RNA
AUACUUCCCUGUCAUGGGAGAUACCAUGAUUAAGAAGGUGGUUUUGACAGGGCGAGGCUUAUCCAUUGCACUCUGGAUGUGCUGAUCCCUGCAGUUUUCCCAAAUGUGGGAAACUCAGCUGCAUAAUUUGUGGUAGCGGGAACUGCAUUCGUACUUUCCUC